AAUUGUAGCGGCCGUCUAAUAAAGUAACGGAAAACACUAAAUGUCUGAAAUGCCCUUUUUUAUAUACUAUUUGUUGGUCCAAACCAUGACUAAAACUCUUUUAUUUUCUUUUAAUAAAUAAAUAUAAUUCAAAAAGAUUUAAUUAUAAAUAACACAAAUUUAUAGGAGUAAACUACAAUUUUCAUAACUUCUUAUUUCCAUAAUAUCUUCUUUCCCUCACCAUCAAAUCGGUCAUUACAGCAUCUUCAAGAAAAGAAGAAUAGGGAAAAAAAAUCAAAAAAUCCUCCAAAAUAUUCAUAAACACUUCCCAAAAACAAUCAGAAAACCCGAUCAAAAAUAAAGAAAGCGGCCCAGAUUUUCACCUCAAAACCCAUUGCUCGCAAUUUUUUUCUUCUUCAGCUACAUCUCUGCAACUUUCGGUUUUUCUUCGUGGUGGUUCAUCCCCUUAUCGUUUCUACGAAUUUUUGAUGUCUUUGUGAAGUGGUUGAAUAGUAUUUUGAUAGUGAAAAUUGAAACGGCGGCGUUUUGAUGGUGGGCUAGUGGUGGUGGUCGGCAACGUUUUGAUGGUGGGCUAUUGGUGUUGGUCAGCGGCGGUUUGAUGGUGGGCUAUUGGUGGUGGUCGGCGGCGUUUUGAUGGUGGGCUAUUGGUGGUGGUCGGCGGCGGCUUGAUGGUGGGCUAUUGGUGGUGGUCGGUGGUGUUUUGAUGGUGGGCUAUUGGUGGUGGUCGGCGGCGGUUUGAUGGUGGGCUAUUGGUGGUGGUCGGCAGCGGGUGGAUGUUUCAAUAUCCAAAACCCUCAUCUUCUACAUCCACAUUUCUUCGGCCCUGGUUUUUUUUUUUUCGAUUUUUGUCCUUUUUUUUUAUUUAUUUAUUAGAUUUUGGUGGAUAAAUCCUUCAGCCCUUAACAAGUGUUUGUUUU
rnacentral:lncRNA from 1 species